rnacentral:rRNA from 1 species
GGACUACUGGGGUUUCUAAUCCCGUUUGCUCCCCUGGCUUUCGCGCCUCAGCGUCAGAAGGGGUCCAGCGCGCCGCUUUCGCCACCGGUGUUCCUUCCGAUAUCUACGCAUUUCACCGCUCCACCGGAAGUUCCGCACGCCCCUACCCCCCUCGAGGCCGGCAGUAUCAAAGGCGCUUCCACGGUUGAGCCGUGGGCUUUCACCCCUGACUGGCCGGCCCGCCUACGCGCCCUUUAAGCCCAGUGAUUCCGAACAACGUUAGCACGGUUCGUCUUACCGCGGCUGCUGGCAC